CUCUGGAAUGUCAUAAAGCCUCAACAUCCUACCUCUUAAUUGGGGAGAGUUAUAAGCUGCCUCUGCGGGGCAAACCCAAAACAGACUCUUGAGAUGGUGUCAAGAACUGUCAAUGGUCUGAGAAUUUAUUCUAUCUGCAAUCCAAGAAGUUAAUUUGCCACUAUUACAUGCAUUGACAAGUUACACUAGAUGCUGCACUCAACAAUCCCCAAAUCUUCCUUACAUCAGAGUACAAUGUGGACCAAGUUGAUUGGUGUUAUGCUCAACUCAAACAUUUUGGGAACCUAGAUUGACGGGUCUACCAUUGUCAAUGAGGACUUCCAGAUUGCUCUGUGUCUUACCAUCUAAUAUGCAAAUAGAGAAGAGAGUGUGAAGGAUAAUUUCGGAGAUUUUUUAGCCAGACUGAAGUCGUGUGCAUAACUGUUGUUGCAUUCACAACUCAGUCAUCUACUCCACGUUGCUGGAAGUGAGGCAAGGAAAGACUCUUCAUGUAAGCCCAAGAGGUUUGCCACACAUCUGCUGAGUGCUAACAGUGAAGUGAGAGGUGGGAGAGAUUCUUGCACAUUUACCAACUUGCAGAGCCCCACUUUGAACAAAGUGUUUUCUAAAGUCUCCAGGAGUGCUCAGUCUAUACGUGUUCAGAGCAGAAGGAAACGUUUCAAGGUCCUUGCAGUUGAAAGGGUGCAUGAAGAUACCCUGUCCCGCAUCUGCUUGACCAGGAACUCCUCGAACACCAGGUUUCUUAUCAACAUGGUUAUCACCAUAUAUCAAUUAUACUGUUACAUUUCUGUUCUGGAUUUUGAUUCAUUUCCUGGCCAGCUGGGAUGAACAACCAAAUAAUAUUCUCAGGAAAAGGGUUCCAAUGGGCCAGGUUUCCUGCCAGCAUGACAACAAUAUCCAUGCUGGCUCAUGGCAGCUUGAUGGGGCAUCGGGGAGAGAACCACUCGAAUGGGCCGCCCACGACCUCAGCAUGAUUUCCUGAUCUGACACAGGAGAGAAGACUACCAUGUGGCGUGGUUGUGGAUAAUCAUGGCAUGAAUAUAUAAAAACUGCUUCAGAAGUGUGUGAAUGCCAGCACUUGAUGCUACCACUUCUUCCUACUUUGCUGGUCUGCUGAUUCUCAGAAUGGAGGAAAACAAAGUCUUUCACCUGGCAGGCCAUCGCAUUAAUUCCAGGACUUUUAUGGAAAUAUCUUGCCAAAGCAUCCACUGGAGGAAGUCUUGGGACAUAUUCCCCCAGUAACUGGGAAAUUCAAGAAGCUGAACUUCUAGCACAGAUGAAUCUAGACCUUCAAUGAAUAUAGGUCUCUUUCUCCCAGCUGUUUCUCUUUCUAUUGGCUUUAUUCUUAGCACUAUUGCAAAUUGUUGCCAUGAGAAUAUAGGUCUUCUUUCAAGAAUAUUAUUACCAUCACCACCUGCUUGUUGCGCAAUAUGCAAAAGUAAGUAACAUCACAGUGGAAGUCACUGAGUGUAGUGGAUGCUUACAGCAGCCUAUCCAAAUAUAUAUCAACAGUUAGAGAUGAAAACGUAUUUUUUAUACAGACACACUUAAACCAAAUCACAGAGUCAUCUUUUAACAAGAACAGGAUAAACACUUGCAUCAAUCCAACUAAUUGCUAGGCUGACUUAACUACAUACAUGUUUAAUAUCACAAAGGAAAAUAAUAUCCCUGUAUAGAGAAUGCUCAAGGCAAUACUUUUUCUUAGUUUUUGGAACAUAACUUCAUUCUGUGGUAUAUUUUGUUCUAGUAAUGAUGAGCCAGUUCUAGGGGAAAUAGAAGCAGGGAGAAUGACAAGAUUGGCUGCAAGGACUUGAUUCUUGCAAAUUUCCAUCAUUCCUACCAUGACAUGCCUUUUGUUAACCUCAAAAGAUCAUGCAUGACCCAGUUGGGGUAGAUAUUUUUGCUCCAUUGUGUAUCCUACAUAACGAGCCAUUUGUGUUAUGAAUUUCUAGUCCUAUUCUCCCAAACAGCAUGAUCUAAUGUCUUCUUUAAGCACCAACCUUAAAGCAAGCCUUACUGUGUGCAGGUGGAAGGAAUGCUUCUUUCUGGUCUUUACUGAAAUUAGUCUGUGAGACCUUAGUUAGACACUGGAUUAUGACUUUAAGAAACAAAAAGCAAAUAAACACACACAAGGCCCAAACAGAAACCCUAAGAACAUUUUAUAUAUUAAGAAAAAAGGUCCUUCUGAGCCCCCUUCUCCCUGCUCCAGAUCCUUUUUCCAUCAAAAAAAAAAAAAAGCCAUAUAAAAAGCAUAUAAUCUUUUUUGUCUGUGGAAGUUUGCCCUCCUUGAGCAAACAUUUUUGUGCCAGUCAGUUUAGUUCCCGGGGGUGGCGGGGGGGGAGACUGUUUUCUAAUUGCUGUUCUUUAGGACCUGAAUGUAGGAAACAUUCGUGCUCCAGCUUCCUCCUUCAUCUAAAAAUGUGUUUGCAAAGUGCUCUCCAAGUGAAGCAAGGGCACUUAGAUCUGCAGUGUGGAAAGAGUCAGAGGCUGGGCUGUAACUCACAUUCUGUGUUUAGGCAUAUGGGAGUUCUAGAAUUCAUCUUCUCAUCCAGGCCAAGGACCCUGAUUACAGGAAAGUGUAUUCACUUAGCCCUGGCACAAUGUCUGAGACACUAAUCUUAACCCAUUCAUUCACCCACUUCUUAAUCCAUUCAAUUUUUGGGAAGCAGCUCCAGCUAAAUGAUGACCAGGAUCAAUAGUCUUCACAUCUCCUUGCUUUGGUCAAAUGUGGAGAAUGACAAAAUCUGCCACACAGGGUUUUUGUGAGGUAUGAAUCAUUGAUAAAAGCAGAGCUCUCAGCACAGAGCCUGGAACCCAAAGCCAAGCCUGGCAUCCAGAACAAAGUUUUUCCUGAGAACACUACUUAUUUUUGAGUAGAAAGAAAAACAUGACUUAAAAAAUGAAGAAGGUGGAGAUUUUUGCUGGAUAUUCUGUUGGCCCUGUCUAACGAAGUAGCCACUAGCCACAUGCAGCUAGUUAUGUUUAAAUUGAAAGUGAUUAAAGCUAACUAAAAUUAGGCAUUCAAUUCCUCAGUCACAUUAGCCGUAAGUCAAGUGCUCAAUAGCUUGUACCUCAGUGACUACCAAAUUAGAGAAGAUACAGAACACCUCCAUCCUCACAGCAAAUACUCUCCAUAUAGGAAUCUGUGUCGCUCUUUUGCUUAAUUUGCCCUGUAAAUUAUUCAUCCCCUUGUGUGCACAAAGCAUCGUGUUUUAUUCAGUGGGGUCACAAAGAUGAAUACCCCUACUUUGAAGAGACUUGCAAGCUUACCAUCUAAAAAAAAAUGUAAGACAUGCUCAUAAUUAAUGACAACACAGACACUGUGCGAUGGCUCAAUAUUUAAGUGCAGUACAUGGAACUAAUAAUAUGGAUCUCGACAAGAGUGAGGAGUGUCUACAAGAAAGAAGCUUCUGUUAAAGAUAAAAACUGUAGGACUUUUAAAACUCAGUUACAAGUCAGCACGCAGUGAUUGGGAGAGAAUACUGGAGCAGCACCCAGACUUCACCUUCAAGAUUUGUGAGUUUUACUCUAACUUAGCAAAUUGGCAUUUAAAUUUCCUUACACCAGGCUUUUGAGGAUGUAGCUAUUGUCAGCCACAGUUUGAUCACUUACAGAGCAAGGAAUAAGGCCAUGCCAUGUGGAGAGCUCAACAAGUACUGCCACCCUUCAAAAUUCAUUUUAGACAUUUCUGACGUGAGUUGGCUUUCCAUGGGACGUACUCCACUUUCCAACUUGGUAAGCAAAUAGAAAGAUUUUGCGGUGGCUGGGAAGAUUUUGUGGUGACUUUUGUGAUGGUUAUUAAAGAAUACCCACAAGUGGCCUCAAUUUCAUCCAUUUCCAAACAAGUGUACUUUUACUCAGAGGCAGAGGAUAUGGAAAUUCUCUAUUUCCCCAUUGUGGAACCCCCCAGUCUAGUGAGGGAGUCAGAGAUGGCUAGUAGUCCCCCAUAUUGCUUCUUGUGCAGAGCAACAGAAAUUCCUCUUUCAGUUAGGCUCAUCAUCACCUGUGAAAGUGGCCAUUGUCGCAGUUCUUCACAACUGGUGUGGCCCUGAGUCUAAGAUUAGCUAGCAGCGUAGACAAGAAACAGAUAUGUCUAACAUCAAGGAUGUUUUCUUGAAUGAUGCCCCCCUUUUAGUUUCAUUUCUCCCCUUCCUGCUGGCAUAAUGAAGACCUGCUGGUGAGCCAUUUGGUUGUUGCAGAAAGGGAGAUACCCCAGAAAUAGUGGAGCAAUAAAUCAGAAGAAGCCUGGAUCCUGACACCAUUGCAGAGCAGAGCUGCCUCAUAUGUUUGCAUUUAUAUAGGAAAAGAGAACCUCUGAUCUUCUUCAAGCUGUGUUUAUUUGGGCCUCUGUUCUACUCAGCCCAACUAGUCACAUAAUAAAG